GAUGAACGCUGGCGGCGUGCCUAACACAUGCAAGUCGAACGGAGUCCAGCCUUUAAGACCUUCGGGUCAAAGAGGGGAAGACUGAGUGGCGGACGGGUGAGUAACACGUGGGCAACCUGGCUCAUAGAGGGGGAUAACAGAGAGAAAUUUCUGCUAAUACCGCAUAAGCACACACUGCCGCAUGGCAGAGGGUGAAAAGAGAAUCGCUAUGAGAUGGACCCGCGUCUGAUUAGCCAGUUGGCAGGGUAAGAGCCUACCAAAGCGACGAUCAGUAGCCGAUCUGAGAGGAUGAACGGCCACAUUGGGACUGAGACACGGCCCAAACUCCUACGGGAGGCAGCAGUGGGGGAUAUUGCACAAUGGGGGGAACCCUGAUGCAGCGACGCCGCGUGAGUGAAGAAGUAUUUCGGGAUGUAAAGCUCUAUCAGCAGGGAAGAUAAUGACAGUACCUGAAGAAGAAGCCCCGGCUAACUACGUG
rnacentral:rRNA from 1 species